UACGUAGGGUGCGAGCGUUGUCCGGAAUUAUUGGGCGUAAAGGGCUCGUAGGCGGUUUGUCGCGUCGGGAGUGAAAACCUCGGGCUUAACUCGGGGCUUGCUUUCGAUACGAGCAGACUAGAGGUAUGCAGGGGAGAACGGAAUUCCUGGUGUAGCGGUGAAAUGCGCAGAUAUCAGGAGGAACACCGGUGGCGAAGGCGGUUCUCUGGGCAUGAUCUGACGCUGAGGAGCGAAAGUGUGGGGAGCGAACAGG
rnacentral:rRNA from 1 species